GAUUAAGUUAUUAAGGGCGCACGGUGGAUGCCUUGGCACUAGAAGCCGAUGAAGGACGUUACUAACGACGAUAUGCUUUGGGGAGCUGUAAGUAAGCUUUGAUCCAGAGAUUUCCGAAUGGGGAAACCCAGCAUGAGUUAUGUCAUGUUAUCGAUAUGUGAAUACAUAGCAUAUCAGAAGGCACACCCGGAGAACUGAAACAUCUUAGUACCCGGAGGAAGAGAAAGAAAAUUCGAUUCCCUUAGUAGCGGCGAGCGAAACGGGAAGAGCCCAAACCAACAAGCUUGCUUGUUGGGGUUGUAGGACACUCUAUACGGAGUUACAAAGGACGACAUUAGACGAAUCAUCUGGAAAGAUGAAUCAAAGAAGGUAAUAAUCCUGUAGUCGAAAAUGUUGUCUCUCUUGAGUGGAUCCUGAGUACGACGGAGCACGUGAAAUUCCGUCGGAAUCUGGGAGGACCAUCUCCUAAGGCUAAAUACUCUCUAGUGACCGAUAGUGAACCAGUACCGUGAGGGAAAGGUGAAAAGCACCCCGGAAGGGGAGUGAAAUAGAACCUGAAACCGUGUGCUUACAAGUAGUCAGAGCCCGUUAAUGGGUGAUGGCGUGCCUUUUGUAGAAUGAACCGGCGAGUUACGAUUUGAUGCAAGGUUAAGCAGUAAAUGUGGAGCCGUAGCGAAAGCGAGUCUGAAUAGGGCGUUUAGUAUUUGGUCGUAGACCCGAAACCAGGUGAUCUACCCUUGGUCAGGUUGAAGUUCAGGUAACACUGAAUGGAGGACCGAACCGACUUACGUUGAAAAGUGAGCGGAUGAACUGAGGGUAGCGGAGAAAUUCCAAUCGAACCUGGAGAUAGCUGGUUCUCUCCGAAAUAGCUUUAGGGCUAGCCUCAAGUGAUGAUUAUUGGAGGUAGAGCACUGUUUGGACGAGGGGCCCCUCUCGGGUUACCGAAUUCAGACAAACUCCGAAUGCCAAUUAAUUUAACUUGGGAGUCAGAACAUGGGUGAUAAGGUCCGUGUUCGAAAGGGAAACAGCCCAGACCACCAGCUAAGGUCCCAAAAUAUAUGUUAAGUGGAAAAGGAUGUGGCGUUGCCCAGACAACUAGGAUGUUGGCUUAGAAGCAGCCAUCAUUUAAAGAGUGCGUAAUAGCUCACUAGUCGAGUGACACUGCGCCGAAAAUGUACCGGGGCUAAACAUAUUACCGAAGCUGUGGAUUGUCCUUUGGACAAUGGUAGGAGAGCGUUCUAAGGGCGUUGAAGCAUGAUCGCAAGGACAUGUGGAGCGCUUAGAAGUGAGAAUGCCGGUGUGAGUAGCGAAAGACGGGUGAGAAUCCCGUCCACCGAUUGACUAAGGUUUCCAGAGGAAGGCUCGUCCGCUCUGGGUUAGUCGGGUCCUAAGCUGAGGCCGACAGGCGUAGGCGAUGGAUAACAGGUUGAUAUUCCUGUACCACCUAUAAUCGUUUUAAUCGAUGGGGGGACGCAGUAGGAUAGGCGAAGCGUGCGAUUGGAUUGCACGUCUAAGCAGUAAGGCUGAGUAUUAGGCAAAUCCGGUACUCGUUAAGGCUGAGCUGUGAUGGGGAGAAGACAUUGUGUCUUCGAGUCGUUGAUUUCACACUGCCGAGAAAAGCCUCUAGAUAGAAAAUAGGUGCCCGUACCGCAAACCGACACAGGUAGUCAAGAUGAGAAUUCUAAGGUGAGCGAGCGAACUCUCGUUAAGGAACUCGGCAAAAUGACCCCGUAACUUCGGGAGAAGGGGUGCUCUUUAGGGUUAACGCCCAGAAGAGCCGCAGUGAAUAGGCCCAAGCGACUGUUUAUCAAAAACACAGGUCUCUGCUAAACCGUAAGGUGAUGUAUAGGGGCUGACGCCUGCCCGGUGCUGGAAGGUUAAGAGGAGUGGUUAGCUUCUGCGAAGCUACGAAUCGAAGCCCCAGUAAACGGCGGCCGUAACUAUAACGGUCCUAAGGUAGCGAAAUUCCUUGUCGGGUAAGUUCCGACCCGCACGAAAGGCGUAACGAUUUGGGCACUGUCUCAACGAGAGACUCGGUGAAAUCAUAGUACCUGUGAAGAUGCAGGUUACCCGCGACAGGACGGAAAGACCCCGUGGAGCUUUACUGUAGCCUGAUAUUGAAAUUCGGCACAGCUUGUACAGGAUAGGUAGGAGCCUUUGAAACGUGAGCGCUAGCUUACGUGGAGGCGCUGGUGGGAUACUACCCUAGCUGUGUUGGCUUUCUAACCCGCACCACUUAUCGUGGUGGGAGACAGUGUCAGGCGGGCAGUUUGACUGGGGCGGUCGCCUCCUAAAAGGUAACGGAGGCGCUCAAAGGUUCCCUCAGAAUGGUUGGAAAUCAUUCAUAGAGUGUAAAGGCAUAAGGGAGCUUGACUGCGAGACCUACAAGUCGAGCAGGGUCGAAAGACGGACUUAGUGAUCCGGUGGUUCCGCAUGGAAGGGCCAUCGCUCAACGGAUAAAAGCUACCCCGGGGAUAACAGGCUUAUCUCCCCAAGAGUUCACAUCGACGGGGAGGUUUGGCACCUCGAUGUCGGCUCAUCGCAUCCUGGGGCUGUAGUCGGUCCCAAGGGUUGGGCUGUUCGCCCAUUAAAGCGGUACGCGAGCUGGGUUCAGAACGUCGUGAGACAGUUCGGUCCCUAUCCGUCGUGGGCGUAGGAAAUUUGAGAGGAGCUGUCCUUAGUACGAGAGGACCGGGAUGGACAUACCUCUGGUGUACCAGUUGUCGUGCCAACGGCAUAGCUGGGUAGCUAUGUGUGGACGGGAUAAGUGCUGAAAGCAUCUAAGCAUGAAGCCCCCCUCAAGAUGAGAUUUCCCAACUUCGGUUAUAAGAUCCCUCAAAGAUGAUGAGGUUAAUAGGUUCGAGGUGGAAGCAUGGUGACAUGUGGAGCUGACGAAUACUAAUCGAUCGAAGACUUAAUCAA
rnacentral:rRNA from 1 species